rnacentral:rRNA from 1 species
GAUGAACGCUGGCGGCGUGCCUAAUACAUGCAAGUCGAGCGAACGGACGAGAAGCUUGCUUUUCUGAUGUUAGCGGCGGACGGGUGAGUAACACGUGGAUAACCUACCUAUAAGACUGGGAUAACUUCGGGAAACCGGAGAUAAUACCGGAUAAUAUUUUGAACCGCAUGGUUCAAAAGUGAAAGACGGUCUUGCUGUCACUUAUAGAUGGAUCCGCGCUGCAUUAGCUAGUUGGUAAGGUAACGGCUUACCAAGGCAACGAUGCAUAGCCGACCUGCGAGGGUGAUCGGCGACACUGGAACUGAGACACGGUCCUGGGGCCUACGGGAGGCAGCAGUAGGGAAUCGUACGCAAUGGGCGAAAGCCUGACGGAGUAACGCCGCGUGAGUGAUGAAGGUGUUCGGAUCGUAAAACUCUGUUAUUAGGGAAGAACAGAUGUGUAAGUAACUGUGCACAGCGUGACGGUACCUAAUCAGAAAGCAACGGCUAACUACGUG